CUGUUCAGCUUCGUACUUCCAUCUGCUCUUCGCUCUAUCCAAGGGUGGCCUUGCGAGACUCGGUCCCACCCCCUCGGUUUGGCACCAAGACACACAUACAGAGAAUGCCAUCAACUGCAUUUGCUCGCAAAUACUCGGCUUGCAGCAGGUGUCCCUUGGCGUGCAGCACAGCAGCAUGAGGCCUUGCUGGCCUCCCUGCUGUGUUCGGUAAUCUUAACGUCAGGAGUUAUAGACCGCUGGUGACACACUCGCUUCACUCUCAUGCAUCGCGCAGGCGUCUCCUGUUGUACACAGGUCAGUGCCUUCUUUUGCACACACCGUUAGCAAGCCUCAGCCUGCCUUAGCGGUGAGUGCCGUGCUCACACUACCUCACACUACUUCGCUUACCAAGCCAAAUCUAAGCUUGCCAGCCGUUCGCACUCUGCUACCUGCUGUGGUGAACCUUCCAAUGCAGCCACACACAAACACACACCGGCCUCUCCUCCAAAAUCCAGGAUGUCUAUCCCUAGCAAUAAUAGCACAUUUUCAUGAAACGCACACAUCACACACACAGCACAAGGGAUGAUGUCCCCGCAAGCGCUAUCUGGUCAUGGGUAUUGACAACUGGGUAUGUCAGAUACAGUCCCACAUUACCGUACUUAGAUUACCGCCAAACCUGAGCUUGCUUGCCCUUCGCGCUCUGCUAUCUGCUGUAACGAACUUACAAAUGCAGAUAGAUACACACAGGUCCGGCCACUGAUGUUAAGAUUCCCGCGUGGGCACAGGGGUCAUGUACUCGUGACACCAUAAUAACAAAUGCAGGACAAAAAUGAAAGCUCCUGAGGCCACAUAGCAAUCAGGACAAAGGCCCCUCCAUCAAAUCCAGGAUGUCAAGCCCUAGCAUCCUUAACAACAUUUCCAUCGCAUACACACAGCACAAGAAAUGAUGCAGGCGCUAUCUGGUCAUGGGUAGCCAGGUGGUAUACUGGCCAGUACUACGGCCGCGCGGCCUCUCCCAGCGCAUCAGCCAAGACAACCGUAACCCUCCUUCCUUGUGUUCUGAAGGCCGUCAAGCAGUCAGGCGUCAACACCCCGUUUCGGCGGUUUGGACCAUCUUCAUUUCGUUUCGGAGGCCAAACCGGACUGUUUCAGCGGCCCGGCCCGCAAUCAUGACGGUCAUCCUGGCCGUUUGGCCCAUGGCCUGGCCCCUACUGCGCAGCCUCCUGGUAGCCCCCGCCCCAGGAGGCUGCGCCCCAGGAGGCUGCGCAGUAGCGGCCAGGCCAUGGGCAUAAUCGGCCAGGAUGACCGUCAUGAUUGCGGGUGAAACAGUCGGUCCGGGCCUCCGAAACGCAACGAAGAGGGUCCACACCCCCAAAAGCACGGGGCCAACGCAGGCCGCCUGGGCCGCGUAUACCGUCAGGUGAGGGAUAGUCCUUGCUAAGCCUGCUUCUGAUGAGCAGAAGGCUCUGACGCCAAGCUGCGCGAAAUGCGAUUGAAGAGGGCGCGCCCCAGCCACACCAGGUCCGUGACGAGGUCUGCGCGCAUGCAGACUGCUCUUAUCAUGCCCUAUUAUCCCAUAUAUGCACGAGGACUCUGGCACUCACUUGGCUCCACGUUCAUCUCCUCGAUUUUAGCAUCGAGGGCCUUGAGGGCCGCGGCGUUGGCUGUGGCCUGGGCCGCGAGCUGCCCGGCGAACUGCUCGAUUUGGGCCGCGAACUGCCCGGCGAACUUCUCGACCUGGGCCGCGAACUGCUCUUCGAGCCGGUCCAUCCGCUGCUGCAAGUCCACCUGGUCCAUCUGCUGCUGCAUACUGUCCGACUGAGGUUGCGGCGGCUGGGCCAUUAUUACGGCGAGCCGAUGCAAGUUGGCGUUGGUAAGUAAAGGCUAUAGGUGAGCGAUGCGAUGCGAACUUGUAGGUGCAAUACCCCUGCUCCGACAUCGGCACGGCGCCGACCGAUGGGUGCCUCCCUCAUACCUGGCGGUGGACCGUCAAUCUGCGUGGCCUCUGGGCCACAUUCGUCGCCACAUUCCGGCCGCACCACCUUCAUCCGUCUUCAUCCGAACCUACUUACUUCACGGCGGUGUAUCUAGCCCCGCCCAAGGCUUGCAUCUUCCAGGGGUGGGCCACGAUCGCAGGCGUGUAAGGGCCCUAAUAUCGUUCUCGCCCAUGGCAUCCGGGGGCCCAAAAAUGCCUAGGUUUUAGCGGUUGGGGGGGCUCGCGGACAGUGCUCGUAUCUUCACAAGGCAUGCGGUGGGCGGUGUCGCGUACCUGGCGGUUGCAGUGGCGGUGGCGUUCCAGCUUCGCGGCUGGGGACGUUCCAUUGCGGCGCUGCUGUCGCGGGUAAGGACAGACAACGCUGUUGCACAUGCCUUCUCUUAUACUUCUCUCACCCUUUCACGCACAACGACGCGUGCCAUGCGUACUGCUGUCUCCCGCUGGCGCCGCGGCCCCUAGCGGGUUUGGGGCUGAGCCAGGCCGGGGCGUGCCCAUGCCAGGAGGAUGCUGGGAGCAUCAUGCAAGUGCUAGUUGACAAGUAGGUGCAAGAAAGCGUGUUGGAGCCCACGUCACACUUGCCUUGCCUUGCACUGCCCGCCCGCGCGUUUCGGCUGCAGGGCGGAAAGCACAAGGACAAGCACGCCCAUGCAAAGCCCGGUGAGCCGCCGCCCCUUUCGGGUGUGUGUGUGCGUGCACAUGGCGCUAAAGCUUGGAACGAUGGGGUAUUCCCAUCCCUUCGGUACCGAAAGAAGCACGUCAGACGGCAUACCGUAGUGUAAUACAGUAAGGCAUCCUCCAAAUCUUACCUGCUGCACAGGCGUCAACAAGGGCCGGCAGCUGAAGACCAAGGCGCGGUCCAACAGCAGAAAGGCCCCACGUCCCCGCUGCUCCUUGCCGCCCCGCCGCCGCGCAGCUGUGCCUGCGCAACGCACCCGAGUGCGGCUUCGUGCACGCGGACAGCAUCUGUGUGGCGGCGUGCUUUGGCUGCGCGCAGNNNNNNNNNNNNNNNNNNNNNNNNNNNNNNNNNNNNNNNNNNNNNNNNNNNNNNNNNNNNNNNNNNNNNNNNNNNNNNNNNNNNNNNNNNNNNNNNNNNNCGCUGCUGUCGCGGGUAAGGACAGACAACGCUGUUGCACAUGCCUUCUCUUAUACUUCUCUCACCCUUUCACGCACAACGACGCGUGCCAUGCGUACUGCUGUCUCCCGCUGGCGCCGCGGCCCCUAGCGGGUUUGGGGCUGAGCCAGGCCGGGGCGUGCCCAUGCCAGGAGGAUGCUGGGAGCAUCAUGCAAGUGCUAGUUGACAAGUAGGUGCAAGAAAGCGUGUUGGAGCCCACGUCACACUUGCCUUGCCUUGCACUGCCCGCCCGCGCGUUUCGGCUGCAGGGCGGAAAGCACAAGGACAAGCACGCCCAUGCAAAGCCCGGUGAGCCGCCGCCCCUUUCGGGUGUGUGUGUGCGUGCACAUGGCGCUAAAGCUUGGAACGAUGGGGUAUUCCCAUCCCUUCGGUACCGAAAGAAGCACGUCAGACGGCAUACCGUAGUGUAAUACAGUAAGGCAUCCUCCAAAUCUUACCUGCUGCACAGGCGUCAACAAGGGCCGGCAGCUGAAGACCAAGGCGCGGUCCAACAGCAGAAAGGCCCCACGUCCCCGCUGCUCCUUGCCGCCCCGCCGCCGCGCAGCUGUGCCUGCGCAACGCACCCGAGUGCGCCUUCGUGCACGCGGACAGCAUCUGUGUGGCGGCGUGCUUUGGCUGCGCGCAGCAGCUGGCAGCCCCGGCCGGCGGUGCAGCGGCGGCAGCGCCCCUGUGCUGCCCCUUCUGCUCCAAGGCCAUCGUGAGCGUCCUGGCGGUCCACACGGCGGAGCAGUAGCAGGUGCAGUAGCAGUAGCAGGUGCGAUAAUUGAGGUGUGGGUACUACCGCCGAAGGGAGGCCAGCAGCAGCUGAGACAGCGUGCGAUGAUGCAGCCUCGCAGCGUCGAGAGGUUGGCUUACCCAAAGGCUGGUUGGGAACGCGGAGUGUGGAUCAUGAGCAGGCCCGAGACACUGAAUGAUUGGGAUGCUAGACGGGCGAAACGCUCGCAUGUUCGGCCAUCAUGGCCUUGCCAACUGGAUUGCAUGACGGGCAAGCUUUAUCCAGAAACUAAUGUAUGUCAUGGGGUAGAGUGAUAGGUUGCAUCAUCCUGCAUGAAACGGACGCUGCGCGGUGACCACACAGAAUCUAUUCUUUUGUUCUGAGUCAGGCUGUGUUACAAUGGACAUGACCGAGGGCAAAAGGCGGAGGAGUGAGGGGUGUGUCGAGUCCACUCUGCGAGAGCGUGCAUCCAGCAGCCAGCAGCGAUUGUUGCGGAGUCCUGUGUGCGCAUGGGGUCCGAUCGGGGCAUGCUGCAGUGCACACGGUCGUGAGGCGUUGGUCACUUGGCAGCAGCUGGCAGCCCCGGCUGGCGGUGCAGCGGCGGCGGCCCCCCUGUGCUGCCCCUUCUGCUCCAAGGCCAUCAUUAGCGUCCUGGCAGUCCACGCAGUGGCGCAGUAGUGGCGCAGUAGCAGUAGCAGGUGCGACAAUUGAGGUGUGGGGACUACCGCCGAAGGGAGGCCAGCAGCAGCUGAGACAGCGUGCGAUGAUGCAGCCUCGCAGCGUCGAGAGGUUGGCUUACCCGAAGGCUGGUUGGGAACGCGGAGUGUGGAUCAUGAGCAGGCCCGAGACCAGGGGAGACACUGAUUGACUGGGAUGCUAGGCGGGCGAAACGCUCGCAUGUUCGGCCGUCAUGGCCUUGCCAACUGGAUUGCAUGACUUGGCAAGCUUUAUUCAGAAACUCAUUGACGUCACGGGGUAGAGUGAUAGGUUGCAUCAUCCUGCAUGAAACGGACGCUGCGCGGUGACCACACAGAGUCUGUACUUUAUUCUGAGUCGGGCUGUGUUACAAUGGACAUGAGGGCAAAUGUUCCGGAGUCCUGUGUGCGCAUGGGGUCCGAUCGGGGCAUGCUGCAGUGCACACGGUCGUGAGGCGUGGCCACUUGGCCGCGAUUGCGGCGCUGGGUGACGGCUGCGUAGGGUUGGCCGUGGCUGGGCGAUCGGUGUGGUAUCAGGGACUUGGCCUAAGCAAUGCACCGACAGGCGCGGGCAUGUACGGGUGUGCGUGGGCUGAGUCAAUCUUAUAGGUGGGGCAGGGUGCACCUCGUUCGGUGCCGUACGGGGUCUGAAGUGAGACGGCGGUAGCGGGCGGCCACGAAGUGGCGUGGCGCACUGGGGGUCCGUACUCCGCAGUGACCAUGAGUAGGUGGAACACGGGGCCCACGGAGGGGCGGCAGGGGCCCCCACGCGCUUCGAAACCUUGCCCUUGCCUGUGAGUUUCGUACUGCGUACCGUACAGCAUUACGGUGGUAAGAUACGGUGCCGGUAUUGUGGACCUCUGCAACCCCUGAAACUGACGUGCCAGCUACGUCCGGUAAAGCUGCGCAACUGGAUGAGCGGAAGAUAAGGUCCGGGUCCGGCGUGUCAAACCCCUCCACCCCUUCCUUGGCCAGUGCCAGAUGCCAUGUUAUAGCCGUGUCCUGCACCUGCCCCUGCCCAAACCUGCACCUGCACCCGCCCCUGCCCAAACCUGCACCUGAACCCGCCGAACCCUGCACCCGCCCAAACCUGCACAAAGAGCUUUUCACAUACAGAUUGCAUUGGUUACAAGAGGGACCUGCUGACGCAGUUCACGAGCCAGUGACGUGGAGAACGAUCACCCUGCCCUGAACCCCAGGGGCGUGCCGCCUGCAACGCCGCCGGCCUACUCUAGCUCUAGUAGGCUUGCUCCCAUAGGACGCUCCUCCCGCCAUAUCGAACAUGUUACUAGGUGCCAUCACUCCACCUCCUCUUCCAUUAUGAGACUUCGUGGUCUGUUCAGCUUCAUACUUCCAUCUGCUCUUCGCUCUAUCCAAGGGUGGCCUUGCGAGACUCGGUCCCACCCCCUCGGUUUGGCACCAAGACACACAUACAGAGAAUGCCAUCAACUGCAUUUGCUCGCAAAUACUCGGCUUGCAGCAGGUGUCCCUUGGCGUGCAGCACAGCAGCAUGAGGCCUUGCUGGCCUCCCUGCUGUGUUCGGUAAUCUUAACGUCAUGAGUGAUGGACCGCUGGUGACACACUCCAUUCACUCUCAUGCAUCGGGCAGGCGUCUCCUGCUGUACACAGCU
rnacentral:lncRNA from 1 species